UACAGAGGGGGCAAGCGUUGUUCGGAAUUACUGGGCGUAAAGGGCGCGUAGGCGGCCUGCUAAGUCGAACGUGAAAUCCCCGAGCUCAACUCGGGAACUGCGUCCGAUACUGGCAGGCUUGAAUCCGGGAGAGGGAUGCGGAAUUCCAGGUGUAGCGGUGAAAUGCGUAGAUAUCUGGAGGAACACCGGUGGCGAAGGCGGCAUCCUGGACCGGCAUUGACGCUGAGACGCGAAAGCGUGGGGAGCGAACAGG
rnacentral:rRNA from 1 species